GGUAGGUCAUUUAGAGGAAGUAAAAGUCGUAACAAGGUCUCCGUUGGUGAACCAGCGGAGGGAUCAUUAAAGAGUUGCAAAACUCCCACAAACCAUCGCGAACGUUACCCAGACGUCGUUGCUUCGGCGGGCUCGCCCGCCGGGGGGACGCUACCAGACUCUUGCAGUUCUUCGGCCUCUCUGAGUACGAUUUUUAAAUAAGUCAAAACUUUCAACAACGGAUCUCUUGGUUCUGGCAUCGAUGAAGAACGCAGCGAAAUGCGAUAAGUAAUGUGAAUUGCAGAAUUCAGUGAAUCAUCGAAUCUUUGAACGCACAUUGCGCCCGCCAGUAUUCUGGCGGGCAUGCCUGUUCGAGCGUCAUUUCAACCUUCAAGCCCUGCUUGUGUUGGGGUCCUGCGGCUGCCCGCAGGCCCUGAAAACCAGUGGCGGGCUCGCUAGUCACACCGAGCGCAGUAGCACAUCUCGCUCAGGGCGUGCGGCGGGUUCUUGCCGUGAAACACCCCCCCUUUCCACAGGUUGACCUCGGAUCAGGUAGGAAUACCCGCUGAACUUAAGCAUAUCAAUAAGCGGAGGAAGGGUA
rnacentral:rRNA from 1 species